CUAGCAUUUCUUACACAACAUGGACAGGCUAGGCAGCAUGAACAGGAGCUCAAUCAGCAAAAUUGAAAGUGUCUGUAACAGGACUCCCACAUCCAGCAUGUCAUCAGCCUGUGGAAUUUGCCAUCUCCUCAGGCAGUUCCCUACAGGCCGUGGCACAAUUGCUGACCAGACUACAAGAGGCAGCUUGCAUUAGAGAAAUUAGAUACCAGCUCUCUGAAGACCAGCAAAACCUCAAAUGGUGUAGAGAGAGAGGCAAAAAGGAAAUGGUGAAAUAGAAAAAAGACACAAGAGUGUGCAGCCUUACAUGAUUCAUGCCA